GACAACCUUGAAGGAAGCACAGUCGGACAGGAAAGCGGCGGAUUUGUCACCACGAACUGCCUCUGCCUCCGCAUCCACCAACACAGAGGCCAGGCCCGGGGGUUUGUGUGCGAAAAUGCAGAGGAAGAGGGAGGACAAAAACCUAGAGAGGAACCAAAGACACCUACAUGAAAACGUCAGCGGUUGAGGUGCGAUGCACUCGCGUAACAUUCGGAAAGACGACCGGUGUACCCAUGACUUUCGCAGACCUUAAUGAACCUUUAUCCAGACGUACCGAAGACUGACACAAAAGGGAAUCUUCUCAGACAGAGGUGUGCGGGAAAAGCACAAAAAGCGCUCGACUCACCAGUGACUCACCAACUCCAUUGAGAACAGGAGUUAAGUUAAGACAAUGGGGGACUGGGGUGGGGUAUGGGGCUAGCUUUAAGACUCGAACCCGAAGCCUUCCGGACCCAUGUCGGCUUCCCUAACCACCAAGGCACCACUGCCCCGUGUGUUAAGACCGACUUAUUGCAGAUUAUUAUUAUGUAAUUAUCAAUUAAUUAAUAAUAUAAUACAUUAUCCUCAUUAAAAAUCGUUUCCGCUCCUCCUACUUUGUUCUCAACUCGGACCUAAGGUGAACACUUAGAAGAGAAUUCAAGGUCAGUGCUGAAAAAUAUCAACAG